UGGGGAAUAUUGGACAAUGGGGGCGACCCUGAUCCAGCCAUGCCGCGUGAGUGAUGAAGGCCCUAGGGUUGUAAAGCUCUUUUGUGCGGGAAGAUAAUGACGGUACCGCAAGAAUAAGCCCCGGCUAACUUCGUGCCAGCAGCCGCGGUAAUACGAAGGGGGCUAGCGUUGCUCGGAAUCACUGGGCGUAAAGGGUGCGUAGGCGGGUCUUUAAGUCAGGGGUGAAAUCCUGGAGCUCAACUCCAGAACUGCCUUUGAUACUGAGGAUCUUGAGUCCGGAAGAGGUGAGUGGAACUGCGAGUGUAGAGGUGAAAUUCGUAGAUAUUCGCAAGAACACCAGUGGCGAAGGCGGCUCACUGGUCCGGUACUGACGCUGAGGCACGAAAGCGUGGGGAGCAAACA
rnacentral:rRNA from 1 species